CUUAGUUGCUCUGCGGCAUGUGGGAUCUUCCCAAACCAGAGCUCGAACCCACUUGCCCUGCAUUGGCAGGCGGGCUCUCAACCACUGUGCCACCAGGGAAGGCUUAAAACAAAGUGUAUGGUAAUUUGUUGCAGCAGCCCUGAGAAACUAAUAUAACAUCUAAACACCUUCUUCUCUUCUUUGCUUGUAAACCUACACUACCCAGGAUCUGGGGAUGGGCUUUAUCUUUCCGUACUUCCUGAGGCAUGCCGUGUGAAAUGGGACAAAGAACCCAGGGACGCAUUUCAGAUGGUGGGGACGUCUUCCAUGGAGACAGGAAACUGUAGGUGAGCUAUCUGAGGUCACAGACUGGUUCUAAUUUAAUUCUAUGUCUGGGGCACCUAGCACAGUCCCCAGAGUAGACAUUAAAAAAAAUAAUUGGCAUGAGUACAUAUAUAUGAAUUAACAAAUGAAAAAAUGAAUGGAUGAAUUAAAACAAAGCAAUGGUGAACAAACCAUUAAGUUUAUUAACUUAAGGGUCUUUUGUGAGGACAAUGGGUCAGGGCAGAAUGUUCAUGAGUAAAUUGGACUAGAAAAUUUCUGAAAGUGGCUGGUAGUAGUUUUGUCUCUGUGACCCCACUGAGUCACAAUCUUAGAGGCGCCAUGCCCUCCUCCAAGGGAGGCAUCACUGGCACUUCCGGGAGCACUUCACGCAGGACUACUGGAGGACUGCAACCAGUCAUUUCCUAAGCAGCCACUCUCUGUCUCUGUCCACUCCCUCUCCCCAGAAGCCGAGCAACCUGCCAAACUAGGUUCUAAAAUUUUAAAUUUCAAGAUGUCAGUAAAGCAGACAUAAGAGUGGGGGAAAAAAUCAUGAAUUACACUUCUUCAGUGAUUAAUUUAAAAAAAGAAAAGGACUCCUUACUUUUUUUUUUUUUUUUUUUUUGCGGUACACGGGCCUCUCACUGUUGUGGCCUCUCCCGCUGCGGAGCACAGGCUCCGGACGCGCAGGCUCAGCGGCCAUGGCUCACGGGCCCAGCCGCUCUACGGCAUGUGGGAUCUUCCCGGACCGGGGCACGAACCCGUAUCCCCUGCAUUGGCAGGCGGACUCUCUACCACUGCGCCACCAGGGAAGCCCAGGACUCCUUACUUUUUUAACAGCUCUGAAGGGCAAUGAUCUCCCCACAUCUUCAUCUGUUGAAAACCUAUUUAAUCUCCAGCACAGAUAACUUCGAUGCCUGAGCUUCCAUAUCCCAAAGUUUCUUCCUCCUCUAAGCUCUCCUUACCCCACAACAUUCCACCAUCUCAUGGCUCCUUCCUGGUUCCAUCUUGAAUAUAUCAACGGUCUUGUGUUCACUACUAGACUGGUAGACUUCUUUUGCCACUCAUAGCACUGUAUUCAUUUUUUUGUGUACCCUGAAGUACCUAGUAUAAUACUUUAUAAUGGAAGGCAACCAAAACCUAUCCUAUCAUUCAACUGAAUAUAAAUUGUUUCUAGAACUUUCCAAAAAUAACUAAUUGAGCAAAAUCAUUUUCUUCCUUAAGUUCAUGAGGUGAGAUAAAAAAUAUUUUUAUACAUCUUACUCCUGAGAUACUAAAAUCUAAUUUGGAAAUCACACCAUCCAUCCCAGAACUAUGUGUCCAAGCUAUUUUGGAAACAUCUCACAUCUGUCUUCUUGAAUUCCUCCUGUCACAUCAGGGAACGCUCAACUGAGAAGACAAGACAGGAAGGCUAGUGAAUCACUAAAGGGUGUUUGAAAGAUUAAAAGUAAUGCAGCAGGACAAACCAGCUGAACACUGGGUCUUUUCUGUAUCCUGGAAUUUUUUUUUUAAAGGGAUGGGAGCUUUCAAAAAGCAAUUUAAAAGUAAUUUAUGGUUGAAAUUACCAAAAUCCAUUCCACAUAAAAUGAACAUCUAGAAAACGUUUCGGAAAGUUAAUAAUAUAAACUUAUCCAAAGCUCUAACACUCUUAAGCUAGCUAAGGCCAGAAAUAAUUAGUGCUGCCAAUUGUGUUGACAUAAUUAGGUCUGUGCCUUGGCUUUUGCCCUCACCAGCUAUCCAACUUGCAAGAGUUCCACUUUGCUUGCCUCAAGACUGGAAACCAAUCAACUUAAGACAGCAAAGGAUUCAAACUCUCGAGCAACAUGGUUCAACUUACAAUGCAAGGCAAAGUGUGAAGAGACCUCCGUGGGCUCUACACCAGCAGUAGAUGAACCAAAGCACAGCUCCCAACAUUCCUGAAAUUGUACUAUGACAACUCCCUCCUUCCUCCACCAGGCAAAACAGAGACCUCCGCAGGGAAGGAAGGAAGUGGAAAGAAAGAGGGAGCUGGCGAAGCAGGGACUCCAAAGGUCCCAUUUACAGAGUUUACUGAUCCCUCACCUACCGGUUCCAGGAGAAGGAGAUGCGGAUCAACUUUUCCCAUAAUUGGACACUCCCAAGAAAGAAUUCAAAGGAGAAAUCAAGUGUAAUCCCAUGGAUUUAAGUAAUUUCCAUAAAACUAAAAGAUGAAGAACGACUAAAAAGUCUAGAUGUAGCUUUAAUAAAACAUUCUCAACAGAAUAUUCAGUAGUACAUGUUUGCUAUUUUCUAUUUCUACACUAUCUACCUACCUACCUAUCUAUGCAUCCAUACAUACACACACACAUAGACAUAAAUACACACACACACACACACACUCAUAAAAGGAAGGUCUAGAAGGUACAGAUGCUAACAACAAACUGACCUAUCUUGUGACGCUGCAAUAUAUCAAAUCAUUCCUUUCAGAAUUCAAUAGGUUUCAUUUUGUAAUGGUUUUUGUGGCUGUCAUUCAGGUCAUCCAAGUUCACUUCCCCCAAGAACAAUUUCAAGUUUGCAUAAAUGAGCAAGUGUCCAGGAAACCUGGAAAAAUAAUUCUAUUUGCUUUGGUUUCAAAACUGUCCCAUAAAGUUGCCUAUUUCUCUUCUUUCCUUUCCCAUCUUCUGCUCCCAGAAGAUGGGUCUUAAGCUCCCACAGUCUGGCUGGGGCAUUUUCUCCCAGUUACUCCAUUAGCAGAAAGUGCUGUGGCCACCUCCCUGAGGACAAUACAUCCUUCUCAUCUCUCUGAGUCAAAGCCUGUCUGCGUAUCCAGAAGGCUAACCCAUCCCCAACAUCCCAAUCGUCUUCACAUGGAGUGUGGGAAAAAGGCUGCUCAGAACCCCCUACAGUUAUCCCAGAAAUGCUGGGCAUGCAGUCUGCAGGUACUCACCACACUCUACUAACAGGUUCUCUUGAA